rnacentral:rRNA from 1 species
GUUGUCAUGCCAAUGGCACGGCUGAGUAGCUAAGUUUGGACGGGAUAAGCGCUGAAAGCAUCUAAGCACGAAGCCCACCUCGAGAUGAGAUUUCCCUCAAUGAUAAGACCCCUUGUAGCCUACGAGGUUGAUAGGUCUCAGGUGUAAGUACAGCAAUGUAUGUAGCUAAGAGAUACUAAUCGGUCGAAGACUUGACCAA